AUACGGAGGAUCCGAGCGUUAUCCGGAUUUAUUGGGUUUAAAGGGUGCGCAGGCGGCCAUUUAAGUCAGCGGUUAAAUCGUGGGGCUCAACCCCAUUCUGCCGUUGAUACUGGGUGGCUUGAUUGCGGUCGAGGUUGGCGGAAUUCGUUGUGUAGCGGUGAAAUGCAUAGAUAUGACGAAGAACACCGAUUGCGUAGGCAGCUGACCAGAUCGCAAAUGACGCUCAUGUACGAAAGUGCGGGGAUCGAACAGGAUUAGAUACCCUGGUAGUCCGCACAGUAAACGAUGAAUACUUGUUUUCGGCGAUAUAAUGUCGGAGGCAAAGCGAAAGCGAUAAGUAUUCCACCUGGGGAGUACGCCGGCAACGGUGAAACUCAAAGGAAUUGACGGGG
rnacentral:rRNA from 1 species